rnacentral:lncRNA from 1 species
GGCAUAAUAGAUGGAAAAUCACCUAGAAAUAGAAUAUUCUAUCAAUAACUAAGAAUGUUAAUAUCUCCGUGUUUCAUAAAUAGAUGCAGGAUGAGAUCUGGGAGCCUCCCAUUUCCAGGAUUCCCAGCUGGGAAUGGUCCAAGUUCAGCCAUUCAACACUGCUAAUCUUACACCCUGGCCAGUAAGCACUUUUGGAGAAAAUCACCUGGUAAAUGGAUCAGAGCCACUUCAGAUUCAAGAACAUACGCCUUUGAGAAAAUGAGAUGGAGAAAAAGCUGAGGUUUCUGGACCUGGGCUUAGAGCAUGGAGGCAGUAGCUGAGUUAUAGAGUAAAUAAAUGGUAGGGGUUAUACCA